rnacentral:rRNA from 1 species
GGCUACAGAACGAACGCUGGCGGCAGGUCUAGGCAUGCAAGUCGAACGGAUGACAGAGAGCUUGCUCUCUGAAGUCAGUGGCGCACGAGUGAGUAACGCGUGGGAAACUGCCCUUCACUGGGGAAUAACGUUUGGAAACGAACGCUAAUACCGCAUACGCCCGCAAGGGGAAAGAUUUAUCGGUGAUGGAUGUGCCCGCGUUGGAUUAGCUAGUUGGUGGGGUAAUGGCCUACCAAGGCGAUGAUCCAUAGCUGGUCUGAGAGGACGAUCAGCCACGCUGGAACUGAGACACGGUCCAGACUCCUACGGGAGGCAGCAGCUAAGAAUAUUGGGCAAUGGAGGAAACUCUGACCCAGCCCAUGCCGCGUGAAUGAAGAAGGCCUUCGGGUUGUAAAGUUCUUUUAGUCAUGAAGAUGAUGACAGUAGUGACAGAAAAAGCACCGGCUAACUUCGUGCCAGCCGCCGC